UGAGGAAUAUUGGUCAAUGGACGAGAGUCUGAACCAGCCAAGUAGCGUGAAGGAUGACUGCCCUAUGGGUUGUAAACUUCUUUUAUACGGGAAUAAAGUUAGCCACGUGUGGUUUUUUGCAUGUACCGUAUGAAUAAGGAUCGGCUAACUCCGUGCCAGCAGCCGCGGUAAUACGGAGGAUCCGAGCGUUAUCCGGAUUUAUUGGGUUUAAAGGGAGCGUAGGCGGGGUAUUAAGUCAGUUGUGAAAGUUUGCGGCUCAACCGUAAAAUUGCAGUUGAUACUGGUAUCCUUGAGUGCAGCAGAGGUGGGCGGAAUUCGUGGUGUAGCGGUGAAAUGCUUAGAUAUCACGAAGAACUCCGAUUGCGAAGGCAGCUCACUGGAGUGUAACUGACGCUGAUGCUCGAAAGUGUGGGUAUCAAACAGGAUUAGAUACCCUGGUAGUCCACACAGUAAACGAUGAAUACUCGCUGUUGGCGAUACAAUGUCAGCGGCCAAGCGAAAGCAUUAAGUAUUCCACCUGGGGAGUACGCCGGCAACGGUGAAACUCAAAGGAAUUGACGGGGGCCCGCACAAGCGGAGGAACAUGUGGUUUAAUUCGAUGAUACGCGAGGAACCUUACCCGGGCUUGAAUUGCAACUGACUGAGCUGGAAACAGUUCUUUCUUCGGACAGUUGUGAAGGUGCUGCAUGGUUGUCGUCAGCUCGUGCCGUGAGGUGUCGGCUUAAGUGCCAUAACGAGCGCAACCCUUAUCGAUAGUUACCAUCAGGUUAUGCUGGGGACUCUAUCGAGACUGCCGUCGUAAGAUGUGAGGAAGGUGGGGAUGACGUCAAAUCAGCACGGCCCUUACGUCCGGGGCUACACACGUGUUACAAUGGGGGGUACAGAAGGCAGCUACACGGCGACGUGAUGCUAAUCCCCAAAACCUCUCUCAGUUCGGAUUGGAGUCUGCAACCCGACUCCAUGAAGCUGGAAUCGCUAGUAAUCGCAGGUCAGCAUACUGCGGUGAAUACGUUCCC
rnacentral:rRNA from 1 species